rnacentral:misc_RNA from 1 species
AACUGCAGAUAGCAAGCAUGUACUC